UACGUAGGUGGCAAGCGUUGUCCGGAUUUACUGGGCGUAAAGAGCGCGCAGGCGGUCGUCCAAGUCGCGUGUGAAAGCCCCCGGCUCAACUGGGGAGGGUCACGCGAUACUGGUCGACUCGAAGGCAGGAGAGGGUAGUGGAAUUCCCGGUGUAGUGGUGAAAUGCGUAGAUAUCGGGAGGAACACCAGUAGCGAAGGCGACUACCUGGCCUGUUCUUGACGCUGAGGCGCGAAAGCUAGGGGAGCAAACGGG
rnacentral:rRNA from 1 species